UACGUAGGGGGCAAGCGUUGUCCGGAAUCAUUGGGCGUAAAGAGUGCGUAGGCGGUCCGGUAAGUCAGCUGUGAAAGUCAGGGGCUCAACCCUUGAAAGCCGGUUGAUACUGUCGGGCUAGAGUCCGGAAGAGGCGAGUGGAAUUCCCGGUGUAGCGGUGAAAUGCGCAGAGAUCGGGAGGAACACCCGUAGCGAAGGCGGCACUCUAGGCCGAUACUGACGCUGAGGAGCGAAAGCGUGGGGAGCAAACAGG
rnacentral:rRNA from 1 species